ensembl:lncRNA
CCCGGGGCAGACGUCCUGGACGGGUCAGUGUAGCGGUCAGCGCGGUGAGGUUCUGCAGUGCCGUAGAGAUGGGUCAGUGUAGCGGUCAGCGCGGUGAGGUUCUGCAGUGCUGUAGACGGGUCAGUGUAGCGGUCAGCGCGGUGAGGUUCUGCAGUGCCGUAGAGACGGGUCAGUGUAGCGGUCAGCGCGGUGAGGUUCUGCAGUGCUGUAGACGGGUCAGUGUAGCGGUCAGCGCGGUGAGGUUCUGCAGUGCUGUAGACGGGUCAGUGUAGCGGUCAGCGCGGUGAGGUUCUGCAGUGCUGUAGACGGGUCGGCACGGUCACUGUAAUGAGCCAUGCUUAAUGGAUGCACCAUUAGGCAUUGUUUAUGCCUGUUUAUGUCUACGGGGUGAGACAUGAUCGUUUGUUAUGUAACAGCAGCUA